rnacentral:rRNA from 1 species
GAUGAACGCUGGCGGCGUGCCUAAUACAUGCAAGUCGAGCGAACUGAUUAGAAGCUUGCUUCUAUGACGUUAGCGGCGGACGGGUGAGUAACACGUGGGCAACCUGCCUGUAAGACUGGGAUAACUUCGGGAAACCGAAGCUAAUACCGGAUAGGAUCUUCUCCUUCAUGGGAGAUGAUUAAAAGAUGGUUUCGGCUAUCACUUACAGAUGGGCCCGCGGUGCAUUAGCUAGUUGGUGAGGUAACGGCUCACCAAGGCAACGAUGCAUAGCCGACCUGAGAGGGUGAUCGGCCACACUGGGACUGAGACACGGCCCAGACUCCUACGGGAGGCAGCAGUAGGGAAUCUUCCGCAAUGGACGAAAGUCUGACGGAGCAACGCCGCGUGAGUGAUGAAGGCUUUCGGGUCGUAAAACUCUGUUGUUAGGGAAGAACAAGUACGAGAGUAACUGCUCGUACCUUGACGGUACCUAACCAGAAAGCCACGGCUAACUACGUGCCAGCAGCCGCGGUAACAC